rnacentral:rRNA from 1 species
CCCUUAGAUGUCCGGGGCUGCACGCGCGCUACACUGAAGGAAUCAGCGUGCUAGAACCAUUGUCGAAAGGCAUUGGUAAACCCAUUAAAAUCCUACGUGAUUGGGAUCGGGAAUUGCAAUUAUUUCCCUUGAACGAGGAAUUCCCAGUAAGUGUGGGUCAUAAGCUCGCGUUGAUUACGUCCCUGCCCUUUGUACACACCGCCCGUCGCUGCCCGGGACUGAGCCGUUUCGAGAAAAGCGGGGACUGCUGCUGUCGGGGCUUUCGGGCCUUGGCUUCGGUGGAAACCGCUUUAAUCGCAGUGGCUUGAACCGGGCAAAAGUCGUAACA